GCGGCUAUAGUAUAAUGGUAGUAUACCGGACUGUGGCUCCUGAGGCCCGGGUUCGAUUCCCGGUAGCCGCC
rnacentral:tRNA from 1 species